UAACCACUGGCGAAAAUCGUGAAUGUUG
rnacentral:ncRNA from 1 species